GACGAACGCUGGCGGCGUGCCUAAUACAUGCAAGUCGAACGCAGUGGGGACGGGUGAGUAACACGUGGGUAACCUCCCAUCAGAGGGGAUAACACUUGGAAACAGGUGCUAAACCGAUACUGAUGGAUGGACCCGCGGUGCAUUAGCUAGUUGGUGAGGUAACGGCUCACCAAGGCCACGAUGCAUAGCGGACCUAGGAGGUGAUUCGGCCAAAUGGGUACUGCGAACGGGCCCGUCCUCCUCCGGAAGGAAGCAGUAGGAAACCUCCGGAAAUGGACGAAAGUCUGAGCGGCAAUCGCCGCGGAAGUAAAGAGGGUUUUCGGAUCGUAAGACUCUUUUGUUAGAGAAGCGGUAUCUAACCAGAAAGCCACGGCUAACUACGUGCCAGCAGCCGCGGUAAUAC
rnacentral:rRNA from 1 species